GUGGGGAAUAUUGGACAAUGGGCGAAAGCCUGAUCCAGCCAUGCCGCGUGUGUGAAGAAGGUCUUCGGAUUGUAAAGCACUUUAAGUUGGGAGGAAGGGCAGUAAGUUAAUACCUUGCUGUUUUGACGUUACCGACAGAAUAAGCACCGGCUAACUUCGUGCCAGCAGCCGCGGUAAUACGAAGGGUGCAAGCGUUAAUCGGAAUUACUGGGCGUAAAGCGCGCGUAGGUGGUUUUGUAAGUUGGAGGUGAAAUCCCCGGGCUCAACCUGGGAACUGCCUCCAAAACUGCAUGACUAGAGUACGGUAGAGGGUAGUGGAAUUUCCUGUGUAGCGGUGAAAUGCGUAGAUAUAGGAAGGAACACCAGUGGCGAAGGCGACUACCUGGACUGAUACUGACACUGAGGUGCGAAAGCGUGGGGAGCAAACAGGAUUAGAUACCUCAGUAGUCC
rnacentral:rRNA from 1 species